UUAGUUGCCAUCAUUCAGUUGGGCGACUCUAGCGAGACUGCCGGUAAUAAACCGGAGGAAGGUGGGGAGUGACGUCAAAUCAUCAUGCCCUUACUGACCUGGGCUACACACGUGCUACAAUGGUUGGUACAACGAGUUGCGAGUCGGUGACGGCGAGCUAAUCUCUUAAAGCCAAUCUCAGUUCGGAUUGUAGGCUGCAACUCGCCUACAUGAAGUCGGAAUCGCUAGUAAUCGCGGAUCAGCACGCCGCGGUGAAUACGUUCCCGGGCCUU
rnacentral:rRNA from 1 species